rnacentral:piRNA from 1 species
UAUAAAACUUGACCUGAAGACUCUGCCUAG